GUACUCCAAUGGCGUCUGUGUCAGCACGCUCACACCAGGCCACAACAAUGGCCGCCGCCAAUGUCCCAGUCCCUGGAGAGGUCUCACCCCUCACCGAGAUGCACUGAGGGCCUAUCAGAUCAGAAAAAGGAGCUCAGGAGGCAAGUAGUUCUCAGAAUCCACAGCUGGAGUUUGGACUCUUUUAUUAAGCAGCAGAG